rnacentral:misc_RNA from 1 species
GAUGAAGAACGCAGCAAAAUGCGAUAAGUAAUGUGAAUUGCAGAAUUCAGUGAAUCAUCGAAUCUUUGAACGCACAUUGCGCCCGCCAGUAUUCUGGCGGGCAUGCCUGUUCGAGCGUCAUUUCAACCCUCAAGCCCCCGGGUUUGGUGUUGGGGAUCGGGCUGUACUCCAGCCCGGCCCCGAAAUCUAGUGGCGGUCUCGCUGCAGCCUCCAUUGCGUAGUAGCUAACACCUCGCAACUGGAACGCGGCGCGGCCAAGCCGUUAAACCCCCAACUUCUGAAUGUUGACCUCGGAUCAGGUAGGAAUACCCGCUGAACUUAAGCAUAUCAAUAAGCGGAAGA